rnacentral:rRNA from 1 species
GCGAGGUGGAGCAAACCCCCAAAAGCGGUCCCAGUUCGGAUUGUAGGCUGCAACCCGCCUACAUGAAGUUGGAAUUGCUAGUAAUCGCAGAUCAGAAUGCUGCGGUGAAUACGUUCCCGGGCCUUGUACACACCGCCCGUCACACCAUGGGAGCCGGUAAUGCCCGAAGCCAGUGACCCAACCUUAGGGAGGGAGCUGUCGAAGGUGGAGCCGGUAACUGGGGUGAAGUCGUAACAAGGUACC